rnacentral:misc_RNA from 1 species
UACGGAGGGUGCAAGCGUUGUUCGGAAUCAUUGGGCGUAAAGCGCGCGUAGGCGGCCCGUUAAGUCCGGUGUGAAAGCCCGGGGCUCAACCCCGGAGGUGCAUCGGAAACUGGCGGGCUUGAAUCCGAGAGGGGUCAGUGGAAUUCCUGGAGUAGGGGUGAAAUCCGUAGAUAUCAGGAGGAACACCGGCGGCGAAGGCGACUGACUGGAUCGGCAUUGACGCUGAGGCGCGAAAGCGUGGGUAGCAAACAGG